rnacentral:rRNA from 1 species
GACGAACGCUGGCGGCGUGCCUAAUACAUGCAAGUCGAACGAGAGCGACCGGUGCUUGCACUGGUCAAUCUAGUGGCGAACGGGUGAGUAACACGUGGGUAACCUGCCCAUCAGAGGGGGAUAACAUUCGGAAACGGAUGCUAAAACCGCAUAGGUCCUUUAACCGCAUGGUUGAAGGAGGAAAAGAGGCGCAAGCUUCUGCUGAUGGAUGGACCCGCGGUGCAUUAGCUAGUUGGUGAGGUAACGGCUCACCAGGGCCGUGAUGCAUAGCCGACCUGAGAGGGUGAUCGGCCACAUUGGGACUGAGACACGGCCCAAACUCCUACGGGAGGCAGCAGUAGGGAAUCUUCCGCAAUGGACGCAAGUCUGACGGAGCAACGCCGCGUGAGUGAAGAAGGUUUUCGGAUCGUAAAACUCUGUUGUUAGAGAAGAACAAGUGCUAGAGUAACUGUUAGCGCCUUGACGGUAUCUAACCAGAAAGCCACGGCUAACUACGUG